AACGAACGCUGGCGGCAGGCCUAACACAUGCAAGUCGAACGCUCCGCGAGGGGAGUGGCAGACGGGUGAGUAACGCGUGGGAACCUACCUUACGGUCGGGAAUAGCUCAGGGAAACUUGGGGUAAUACCGGAUACGCCCUUACGGGGAAAGAUUUAUCGCCGUUUGAUGGGCCCGCGUAGGAUUAGCUAGUUGGUGAGGUAACGGCUCACCAAGGCGACGAUCCUUAGCUGGUCUGAGAGGAUGAUCAGCCACACUGGGACUGAGACACGGCCCAGACUCCUACGGGAGGCAGCAGUGGGGAAUAUUGGACAAUGGGCGCAAGCCUGAUCCAGCCAUGCCGCGUGAGUGACGAAGGCCUUAGGGUUGUAAAGCUCUUUUGGCGGGGAAGAUAAUGACGGUACCCGCAGAAUAAGCUCCGGCUAACUUCGUGCCAGCCGCCGCCGUAAUAC
rnacentral:rRNA from 1 species